UGGUGGAAUUGUGUUUAUACAUGGGAAAGGAAAUCCUUAACAUACCUGAAAAAUAGGUCUCUUUUCAGUGCUAAAAAGAUUCAGUGUCACUUCCUCUGACCCUUGUCAUUGAGGAGCUUGGUUUGGGUGGGUACAUACAUUUAACAUUAAACACUGAAUACAGAAAGUGAAUGUUGAUUCAUACCUCCUGGGAAUUUAUAAUCUGAAAUGUCAUUAAAUUCAUAUUUAGUGUAACCAUGUAUAUGCCAUUAUUCAAAUACCAUCAUAUACACUGUUACUAUUUUUUCUAGUUUGGUAAACAUUAGAAGAUAUGAAGUGAAAUGUUAUUCUUAAUCUCACCCGGAAUAGUGCCCUGAGUACACAGUCAGAUAGGGAAGAUCCCUCUAAGUUUCAGAGUUUCAAUGAACAAUGGACAUUUAAGAAAUGAUUUCUCAGACUUAUUACUUGAUUUCUAAAUUUUUAGAUGAAAUUUUAGGGUAUCUCAAUUGUUUACCAAACAGUUAAUUCAUCUGAACCUCAGUUAACCAAUAUGCUCAUCUUUCUAAGCUGUAGCCAAGAAGGGAGAAGGAACUAAGAAAGGCCCUCAACCCAGAAGAUUAAAUGCCAAAGUCCACCACAGAAAUAUAUAAUAGGGAAUGAGUGAUGGCCUGUAGAAACUACUUUUUUCUUUUUUUAUGCAUUUCCCCCCAAAUUUAAGCAUUUGGUUUCCAAGAGUACAGCAUUCAGAGAGAGAGUAUAGUUCAACUUUAGGUCAGCACCUCUAUUACCUAAUGAAAGAGCCAUAUAAAGAAGUAGGAAAUAUAUACAUAUAUGUUCUUUCUCUCUCUUUCUCUUUCUGUCAUUCCUUUGUCCUCACCUCACACACUCUCUUUCCAUCUCUGCUCUUUCUUGCCAAUGCUACAAAGAGAAAGCAUUAUAAAUGUCCUAGUAUUUAGUAAAAACUCCUUCCAUGAGUACUGGUCUAAACUGCCUGCAUUGAUUAAAAUUAUGCUUUUUGCCAGGGCCUCUGAAUAAAAUAGAAUAUGAGCUGUGCAAUAGGGAUUCUCUAAUUCUCCUGUUAAUCCAUUUUGUACUAUUUUUACUUUGUCUCCUGUUGAAUUUUUCUCAUCUUUUUUUAUCAGGUGACAUUAAAGGGGAUUAAAAAUGGGCUGUAGUGAAGUGUCAGGCCUGGCUAAAGCCUUUUUGCUUCAUGGUGUGAUUUGCUGGUGCUUAAUUCUGGUGCUGCCACAACCCCCACUGUGACCUCCUAGGAUGGUAACCAGGUGGUGAUAUUCCAGGGCCCUGUCAGGAAGGGGUGCAGGUUUAGCAUUCCACAUACCACCAAGAGAAGCUGCCUGGUUUUCCUACAGGCGUCAGAAACUAUUUAGUGCUGUUUUCAGCUUCAGUUGGCAGUCAUUUUUAAAUUCUUCUAUAUUUAAUCUUUUAUCUAUGGAAUAGGAUUGUUAGACUGUUUUACUUGCCCCACCUCUACAAUUCAUUGGAGGAGGGGCAUUCAUAGUCUUACUCUGACAUUUUCAAGGGCUCUCCUGUUUGCAUUGCAAGGUCAAGCCUUACAUGUACCAGGUUGCGGUCAACUGUGUAAACUGAUAUAUUAGGUAAGGGUGACACAGCCAAAUUUAAAGGAAUGAGAGACCUAAUCACCUAAGUC
rnacentral:lncRNA from 1 species